rnacentral:lncRNA from 10 species
UUCCACCUCUGGGCUAUUGUGAAUCCUGCUGUAAUGAGCAUAGGCGUACAAGCAUCUCCUUGCCUUUGCCGCCACCUUCAGAGAAGUAUUUAAGGUCGAACAGUGGGGAAGUGUCCUUCUUCAGGGGCUCACCCUGCAGCCUCUAGCUUUGCUUUUUAUCCCACGUCACAGUGAAUGGGCCUAGUCAGUCCAGCCAGGUCUAAGGAUACAACAAGUAUGGACCAUCAGCUUGGCGGAGUGCCUAAGGACAGCUAUGAAUUCUGCAAAGGAAAUGAGAUGGGACAAACAGGACAAAGAGGCAGCGUGACCAGGCCACUGUGAGUCCUGUAUUUCAACAAGGGAUUCAUUUGAAGCAGCCCACAGGGACGGGUGACACUGAGGAAACAAAACCCAGGCCCUCCGGCCUCCGACCGAGCGGUGCAGAGCAUGCUGGGAGAUCACUUCCACCUGAGGAGCACAAAAGACCCCAGGAGUGGAGGAAGCUGGCCUGAGGCCAACCGGAUGUAGCAGACUUGCUGGGCCCAAGGAGGGAGGUCUGGUGAUGGAGCCUCAAGUACAUAUCCUUCCAGUCCUAAGGUAAACAGCGCUUGGGGCUUUGGCUACAGGGAGGGCGUGGCCCACUGAAGUGGCUGGUACAAGGUGGGUACAAGGCAGGCCUUCUGAUUUUUUUUUAAACUGUCUUAUGAAUUAUACUGUACCUACAGAAAAAACACAACAGGAAACUUAAAUGAAUGGCUCAGUGGAAUUGCAAACGUUUGCCCAGAUCAAGACCUAAGAUGUUAGCACCUUGGAAGUCUCCCUCCUGCCCUCUCUAAAUUGUUAUCCUUCAUCCAUCCCUGUCCCCAAAAGUGACCUCUUUCUGGAUUAUAAACAUCAGUUUUGUCUGCUUUUGCACUUAAUAGAAAUACAAUGCAUUCUUUUGUGGCCGAUUUAUUUUCCCAAACACUGUGUAUGCAAGCUUCCUCUCUGCUGUGUCUGAAGCUUUUGUUUGUUUAUCACCGCAUGUCAUUUUGUUGCAUGAUGAUAUAAUUAUUGAUUGAUUCUUCUGUUGAGGGGUAUUUGAUGUAUUUGGGGGUUCAUGUGAAUAGUAUCAUUAGUAAUAUUCUUUUUGCUCUCUCAGUACGCUCAUUUCUGUUAGGUACGUACCUAGGAAUGGAAUUGCUCAGUUAAAGCAUGCAUGUAUAUUUGUAUGCAUGUCAAAAUGUUUUCAAAAGUGUUUGCACCAAAUUAGAUUCUUACCAUCAAUGUGUAAGAGUUCAGGUUGUUGCACAUCCUUGCCAGCACUUCGCAUCGUCUGUGUUUUGAAUUGGUAGCAGUUCUGGUAAGUGUGUAGUAGUAUCUCACUGUGGCUGUAACUAGCAUUACUAUGAUUAUUAUUGAGGCUGACUAACAGUUUACAUGUUUGCCAUUCUUUUGGAGAUCUUUUAUGAAAUGCCGUUUAAGUCUUCUGCCCAUUUUUAAAAACUGGGUUCUCUCUCUUUUUCUUACUGAUUUCUGAAGCUGUUUACAUAUUCUGAAAAUGAGUCUUUACUAGGUGAUAAGUGUUGCAAAUAUCUUUUUCUUUUCUGUUACUUGACUUUUCACUGUUUUAAUAGUGUGUCUUUAUGAACUGAAGUUCUUAUUUUAUAUACACAUACACACACACAUAUAUGUAUAUAUUUCCUUUAAAUUUGAGUUUUGGGGGGUGUCUUUUGUUUUUGUUUAAGAAAUCAUUCCCUGCCUGAAUAAAAAUUAAAAAAAAAU